UACGAAGGGUGCAAGCGUUAAUCGGAAUUACUGGGCGUAAGGGUGCGUAGGCGGUUCGUUAAGUCUGUCGUGAAAUCCCCGGGCUCAACCUGGGAAUGGCGAUGGAUACUGGCGAGCUAGAGUGUGUCAGAGGAUGGUGGAAUUCCCGGUGUAGCGGUGAAAUGCGUAGAGAUCGGGAGGAACAUCAGUGGCGAAGGCGGCCAUCUGGGACAACACUGACGCUGAAGCACGAAAGCGUGGGGAGCAAACAGG
rnacentral:rRNA from 1 species